UGCAAGUCGAACGAACCUUCGGGUUAGUGGCGGACGGGUGAGUAACGCGUGAGAAUCUGCCCUCAGGAGGGGGAUAACAGUUGGAAACGACUGCUAAUACCCCAUAUGCCGAGAGGUGAAACGAAUUUCGCCUGGGGAUGAGCUCGCGUCUGAUUAGCUUGUUGGUGGGGUAAUGGCCUACCAAGGCUUUGAUCAGUAGCUGGUCUGAGAGGACGAUCAGCCACACUGGGACUGAGACACGGCCCAGACUCCUACGGGAGGCAGCAGUGGGGAAUUUUCCGCAGUGGGCGAAAGCCUGACGGAGCAACGCCGCGUGAGGGAUGAAGGCCUUUGGGCUGUAAACCUCUUUUCUCAAGGAAGAAGAUCUGACGGUACUUGAGGAAUAAGCCACGGCUAAUUCCGUGCCAGCAGCCGCGGUAAUACGGGAGUGGCAAGCGUUAUCCGGAAUUAUUGGGCGUAAAGCGUCCGCAGGCGGCCGUUUAAGUCUGUUGUUAAAUUGUGGAGCUCAACUCCAUCACGGCAAUGGAAACUGUUCGGCUUGAGUAUGGUAGGGGCGGAGGGAAUUUCCGGUGUAGCGGUGAUAUGCGUAGAUAUCGGGAAGAACACCUGUGGCGAAAGCGCUCUGCUGGGCCAUUACUGACGCUCAUGGACGAAAGCCAGGGGGAGCGAAAUGGAUUAGAUACCCAUGUAGUCCUGGCCGUAAACGAUGAACACUAGAUGUUGGGGGAAUCGACCCCCUCAGUGUCGUAUCUAACGCGUUAAGUGUUCCGCCUGGGAGAGUACGCACGCAAGUGUGAAACUCAA
rnacentral:rRNA from 1 species